AAUUCCCACCCACCCAUACGUCGGCAGGAGCGGGGGACCCAGGUAGUACGCCGAUCCGUAACGUCCGGACGGCUUGGGGUGAAGUCGCGCAGCACACGCGGCCGGGCAACUCCAGCCCGAACCCGACAGCUCACCUCGCAGGCGCCGGAGAGGAAAA
rnacentral:sRNA from 2 species